rnacentral:rRNA from 1 species
GUGCACCAGUCGAGAAUUUUUCUCAAUGGGCGAAAGCCUGAAGGAGCGACGCCGCGUGGAGGAUGAAGGUCUUCGGAUUGUAAACUCCUGUCAUUAGGGAACAAUGUGCAUUGAUUAACUGUCGGUGCAUUGAUAGUACCUGAAGAGGAAGGGACGGCUAACUCUGUGCCAGCAGCCGCGGUAAUACAGAGGUCCCAAGCGUUGUUCGGAUUCAUUGGGCGUAAAGGGUGCGUAGGUGGCGGGGUAAGUCGGAUGUGAAAUCUCGGGGCUCAACCCCGAAACUGCAUUCGAUACUGCUUUGCUAGAGUACUGGAGAGGAGAUCGGAAUUUACGGUGUAGCAGUGAAAUGCGUAGAUAUCGUAAGGAAGACCAGUGGCGAAGGCGGAUCUCUGGACAGUUACUGACACUGAGGCACGAAGGCCAGGGGAGCAAACGGGAUUAGAUACCCCGGUAGU